rnacentral:lncRNA from 1 species
GAUGGGUUUAUCAGGGGUUUCCACUUUUGCUUUCUCCUCAUUUUUCUCUUGCCGCCACCACGAAAGAAGUGCCUUUUGCCUCCCGUCAUGAUUCUGAGGCCUCCCCAGCCAUGUGGAACUGUUUGAGGCACAGAGCUGUAUAUACAAUAACAGUGAAAUUGAUCCCACUACUAAUUAUGACAAAAAUGAUCUUCCACGUAAACAGGUGGUGAAGCUCCUUAUGGUCCUGACCCUACAGUUCCUGUCCCAUGACCAGGGCCAGAUCACCAAGGAGCUGCAGCAGUUCGUCGUCAGUGGCAGCCCCAUGCGAGCACCCGAGGAAGGGCUGUGACCGUCUAUGACAAGCCAGCAUCUUUCUUUCAAGAGACCUCUGGACCUGCAGCACCAACUCUUCAUGAAGCUGGGCGGCACGCACUCUCCGUUCAGGGCCUGAACCUGAGGACCCAGACACGGAGCGGUCGGCCUUCAUGGAGCGGGAUGCUGGGAGCGGGCUGGUGAUGCGCCUCCGCGAGCGGCCAGCCCUGCUGGUCAGCAGCACAGGCUGGACAGAGGACGAAGACUUCUCCAUCUGCUGGCAGCUUUAGAAAGUAGAGUUUGAACAACUGACUCUUGAUGGACACAACCUUCCUUCUCUCGUCUGUGUGAUAACAGGCAAAGGGCCUCCGAGGGAGUAUUACAGCCGCCUCAUCCACCAGAAGCAUUUCCAGCACAUCCAGGUCUGCACCCCUUGGCUGGAGGCCGAGGACUACCCCCGCUUCUAGGGUCGGUGGAUCUGGGUGUCUGUCUGCACACGUCCUGCAGUGGCCUGGACCUGCCCAUGAAGGUGGUGGACAUGUUCGGGUGCUGUUUGCCUGUGUGUGCCGUGAACUUCAAGUGGCAGGAGCAGAACCCGAAUCUUUCUGGGGAUAGCUUCACAGAUCCACCGCUGAGGAGGAAACAGUGCAGAGCGAGCUGCCCACAUUUACAUGAGCUGGUGAAACAUGAAGAAAAUGGCCUGGUCUUUGAGGACUCAGAGGAACUGGCAGCUCAGCUGCAGGUGCUUUUCUCAAACUUUCCUGAUCCUGCGGGCAAGCUAAACCAGUUCCGGAAGAACCUGCGGGAGUCGCAGCAGCUCCGAUGGGAUUAGAGCUGGGUGCAGACUGUGCUCCCUUUGGUUAUGGACACAUAACUCCUGGGCCAGAGGCUAAAACCCCGGGACCCCUGCUGUCCUUCCCACAGCUUCUUCUCAGAGUCUCAGGGCAAAUCCUUUCGAGCAGCGCCUCCCAGUGGCCAGAAGCUGAAAUGAUGGCAGUAGUGCCACCUGGUGAAUGAAUUGGUUCUGUGACCCGG